CAUACCAUCCAAUCUUGUUUCCCCACGCAUCCGUAUCUCGUUCUUGGAAUCCAGCCGGACUUGAAUCCGGUAUCUCCCCUUCCACCAAAUCACUUAAUUUGAGUUUCUUGACCCAAACUGGUAUCCACGCGCACCUCAAAUCAUCCCAUGAUACUUCUCCUGCGUAUUGGCCGGAGCUAUCCGCUUGCGCAAGAGUUUCUUGUCUCAAAACAAGAUCCAAUGCUGAGCGGGUCAGGAACUGACCUCGGUACUCCCAAAUCUCCUCGGAACUGUCGGAUCCUGCCAGUGACACCGCCGGUGAGGACGGAGCCGGUGUGGGCUUGGCAGCGAUGCCGAGGGUCUGAAGCUCCUUUACAUCUAUGGAUUUGAAUUCGGAAGCAUUAGGAGACGAAUGACGUGAUGAAGCGGGGGAGCGCCCAAGUUCCUGUAGGCAAAAUCCAUUUGAUCAUCCAACAAAUCGACAGACAACGCAGCACUUAUAGCAAGAAUGGAUUCGACAGCACCUCGAAAAAUUCGUAGGAGAUGUCGACAAUUUCGGUGUACCAUACUAUGUUAGAGAUCAAGCAGACAUCGAUCAAGUAGUCUGGACCUGAGCAAUGUGAUCUAACACUUGCACGAGCGUCAUCAGCGUAUCUCUUGCCACAAUAUCCGGUAGAGCGGCGACAUUCUUGAUCUCUCCAUCAACUUUAGCAUAAAUCUGUUGAAGGGUGACUGUCCGAUUAUCAAUCAUAAUUCCUUGCCCGGGGAUAGGAAAAGGCAUACUAAGAGAUGGGGAAGGCCUAGACUCGAUGUACGGCUUCAUUUCAUUGAU
rnacentral:sRNA from 1 species